GAUGAACGCUAGCGGGAGGCUUAAUACAUGCAAGUCGAGCGAGAAUGUUUUUAGCUUGCUAGAAACAGGACAGCGGCGCACGGGUGAGUAACGCGUACGCAAUCUACCUCAUAGAGGGGAAUAGCCCCGGGAAACUGGGAUUAAUGCCCCAUGGCACUUUGAAGUGGCAUCACUUUAAAGUUAAAGAUCCGUCGCUAUGAGAUGAGCGUGCGUGCUAUUAGCUAGUUGGUAAGGUAACGGCUUACCAAGGCUACGAUAGCUAGGGGGCGUGAGAGCGUGACCCCCCACACGGGUACUGAGACACGGACCCGACUCCUACGGGAGGCAGCAGUAAGGAAUAUUGGACAAUGGGCGCAAGCCUGAUCCAGCCAUCCCGCGUGAAGGAUGACGGCCCUACGGGUUGUAAACUUCUUUUAUUUGAGAAGAAACCCCGAGAUUUAUCUCGGGCUGACGGUAUCUUAUGAAUAAGCACCGGCUAACUCCG
rnacentral:rRNA from 1 species